GAUUUAUCAUGUUUGGAUAAUAGGAUGCAAACAUGGAUAAUUAGGAUAACUAUCUUGGAUCUUUGGGAUCAAGGGAUCAGGAUUUGGAAAAAAAAUUUCAGUCCCCUCUCAGUUUAAGGAAUCUCUGGAUGGAUCCUUAGAAUCUAACUGGAAUUAUUUUGGAAUUCGGGAAUCCAUCUAUUAGGCAAAAAUAAUCAUCAGGUUUAAGAUUUGAAAUCCGUAGAUAUCAAAGGUUUGGCGGUAAACAAUAUUGCUUCACUAUGCAAUAAACAGACCAUGCACAAAUGGCCAUAUUUAAUGCAAAUAUUGAAGCAUUAUUGUUUACAGUCACUUCAUUACUGAAUACACAUCAUUUAUGGAAGGAGUGUUCUCAACCCCUCAGCACAGGAUGAUUCUGCGCUGGGAUUUAAUUUCUCACUAUUCUUCUGUUCUGUUAAAAUGGAUCACAGGUUCUGGAAAGGAGGAAAGGAACAGGAACAGAUCAAUUCAAGCUACAUCUGAAGUAGGAGGAUGGAAGGAAAUUGUGUCCUAUGAAAAAUUAUAGUUAAAGUUUAUUUUAAAAAAAAAAAGUUAUCUUUUUUGAAUUCCGAUAAAGAAAUCAUUGGCAAAAAAUUUGCAAAGCAUUUCUAAAGUUCAAUUCACGUACAACUUGAUGUCUUUGGAGUGUCGGCAGUACGUUAUGAGUUUGCGGUUAAAGUUGGACUUUGCGUUUACUUUUCUCGGAGUCUAGGAUGUUUGUCUUGAAAUUCUGAGGAGGAUUCUAGUUGGAGUUACCCUUAGAUAGGGAUUUGGUAAGUGGUGGAAGUUUUUGAUCAAUGGCCGAUUUUAAGGGUUGGUCCAUUAAUGGGGGUGGGUCAAGAGAAAAAAUUAAGGAAAGUGUUCAUUUUCUUCAGCAUCCUAUAGUAAUUUCCUUUACGCAACAUGAGACUUUAUUAAAAAAAGAAAAUGUGUGCAUUAAGGUUUUUUUUCUCUAUAUUUAUUAACCAUGCUUUUUUUACAGCAUAAUCAAUAAAAAAUCUUCAAAAAU
rnacentral:misc_RNA from 1 species